GGGCUUCAAAUGUGGGCAGUAACAGCGAUACCCUGGAGGGGGCUCAUGGGUUAACUACUUACUGUGAUAUCAUCAGAUCUGCAACCAUACUGUGUGUCUUGUACUUUCAGGUAAAAAGAGAGUUGUAGGACCGUGAACUGAUCCCCAUGCGGUAGUGUGCCGAGUCCUUUGGCAGGUGAGGCUGCUGGACAGAAAUGUUUAACAUAAACACUUUGAGAGGCUAUACUUUAAGAUCCUUGUUCAUAAGGGUCUGUAACUCCCUUAAAGAGUUCCUCAUGAGCCCUUGGGAAGUCGGAUGCAUAUGGGCCAUAUGAAAAGCCUCGAUUGUGGAGGAGGACGGAAGGAGGUCAUAGCGGUGAAGUAGCUUUUUUAAUGUUAGAAAAAAAGAAAGAAAAAAGAGUCUUUUUAGGAUGGAUUAGUCAAGAGGUCACUGGAAACAGUAGAUAGGUAUGGCGUUGCAGGAGCUGUGGCUACAGCGGUUGUUUGUGGGUGGCUAUGAUCCAGGUCUAACUGGCAGGAUUAUAUGACCAUAAAUUGCCAUAAGCCUAACUCACUUUAACCACAUGGAUAGAUGACUUUAAUGUAAAUUUAUACAACUCAGUGCCAGGGUAUCCCAACAAGAGUAGUAGGACAAAACAACUUUGAGAGGGAACCCCAAGCUUACUGGAUCUCUACCACUGUGAACUGUCCCUGGUUAAACAUAAGGAGGUGGACUGACGAGAGAGUUGAACGUUGCUGGUUUCUGUUACAUACUUAAAACAUAAAGUUUAAUAUUACCAAAGUAGUCACUAUUUCUCUCCUUUAAUCAUUGGUGUCUAGCAAAGACAAAAUUUUCCUCCAAACAUCAACCAUUUAAGGAAUGCUCUCAUAGUUGUUCAUGAAUAUUACUGGUGGCCGUCAGGAAAAAGAGUCUGUCAUAAACUCUGCCGCAAAGUCAGUAAAGUUGCAGUUAUGCCUUAUGUGUCGAUUCUACUGCACUUACAAAAGUGCAAAAAAAUGGUCAAAUACUAUUUACAAAAUGUACAAGGCAAAAAAAAGAGAAAAUUCCAACAAGGCAGUAGUUCUACUAUAACUCUAGACUCUCUCUCAAGAGAAAAAUAGAAACACAGCAGCACUACAAAAGUCAGUUUGGCAGUUACCUUCUAUACAACAAACUCCAGUCUCAAAGACGGAAAGGCCCAGGAAGCCCUCUGUUAACACCCCCCAUAGCCCCUCCCAGUGGGCGUUAUUAAUUACAUAAGUUUGAGAGAAAAAAAUCACAUUUAAACACUUUUUUUAAACCAUUUUUAAUCUUCAGACCUUUUUCUGUACAUUUUCGCCAUUAUAACUGAGUUUUUACACAAAUCAAUGGAGCAUUAAUUUGUAGAGAUUCGUGGCGAACAACAAGGGAAUACAUUUUUCUUGCAUCAUGUGACCACUUUGACCCUCCAUACCCACCUAUUUUAAACCCGGAAAUCGCGCGCUCUGUUUCUCAUUUGGAAACCUGAACCGGCAUGAUGGCGUGAAUGGAGGCACGGCAGGUAAGUGAAGGGAUGAAUGUCUGUGUGAAUGUAUGUUAAAGUUAACUGAUAGAGCUCCAAGUGUGCAACCUUGGUUACCCUAUCCAACAGAGAAGGGAGAAGGAAAAGUAGCGCGAUGCCGGGAGGGAAAUGUUUGGUGUGUGAGUAUGUGUGUGUGGCCCGCAGUCAGUGAGGACGCCGCUCCGUCACAUCCGCUAAACGUUGAAAUUGCGGUAAUACUAAUAAUGUUAAACCAUAGACUGUAUAUAGUCUAUGUGUUAAACUAGUGACAAGAUUUCCACACUUAUUGACAAAAAUGGCUCAAGGAAUUGAAAGUUGGCAAGACCGUUUUAGAAAGAGGGGGGAUGAUUUUGACCAUUUUUAUUUCAGGGGGGAUGCCCCCCACCUCCCCGUCAACUCGUGCAGGGGAGAGUUGCUCUGUUGCUUAGAAAUGGAAAAAGAAAUUGAUCAUGUGACCAAAUAUUUAGGAGAUGGUCAUCAAUUCAUGGAGUCUGUGAAGGUUAGAAGCACAUGAGUGAAGGGGUUAGACAUUUAUUUACAAAAGAAACAUUUUCACCCUUGAAAGUGAAUUUAGUCUGUCAUAAGUUUCAUUAGAAUUGUGUUCAGACCAAAAAAAUCAUUUUAAAUUUGUUUUAUACAUCAACUGUGGUAUCUGUGAACUACAACAUGAGGUCAAAAACCUAGCAUCAAAGUCCACCAUUUUAGCUUAGAGGACUAAUAAAGUCAUAAUAGUAGUUCUGCGGUAAGUUGAGCCAGUAGCUCAACUGAGAAAGUAAAGAAGUCUGAUGAGAGGAUCAGAGUUUCAGUUCAGAUUGUUGAAAUGUUUUACUUUUUCUUUUCAAAAAUACAGCUGUGAAUGUUCUGAAUCACUUAAAGACAUUCUCAUGUUAAAAUGACUUUUUACAAAACCGCUUUUUAGCAGUUAUAUGGAGUAAUAUAAAAAGAAUUAUUGUACCAGUUGAAUAGCGUAUAGUAGAUAAAAAUACACAUGAAUGUGAAGAAGUGACUGUUAUUUAGGGAGAGAGAAGGUGAGGGAGGGCUGGGGUGGAGAGUGGGGGGAUAGUAGGGAUACGGCUCAACUUACCCCGCUCCUAUAGUCAACUUACCCCAUACAGGGGACCACUUUCUUUGGCAUGCUAUAUUCCCAAGACAGUUAUGUUUACACUCAUUCUGUUGGUUUGCAGGGAUGCACAACAUCUUGAAAUAUAUGCAGAUAAACUAGUUAGAGACAAAACUAUGAUUGCCUUGAUGGUGAUCCGAAAUAUGAAAAAUGGCUCAUCUUACCCCACUCUCCCCAACUGAUUUCAACUAAGGUCGUUACACAAUCAUGGGAAGUGAGGAAAGUGUCUCUUAUGACAUAGAUACAAGAGGUGAUCAUGCCCAUGCUGCAGCAAUAUGAGUGCAGGCCAGCAGGGGGACUGAAGUCAGGGGGACAUGUUUUCUUCAGCCCAGUACCAGCAAUUGGGUCUAGUGUGAGUACCAGCCAGAAACAAUAGUCUUAGGGUGCAAAGAGUUAGUCAGAUUGUCUUCAAGGAAAUUUGUCAAAUAGAACCUUUCUCACAACAGAGAUUCUCCUCACCCCUCAACUUUGACUAUUCAUCUGGGUACCAUCCAUAUUUCCUUCUGUCAUUUUCCAGCCUUGUUGAUCUGUUUGGUUUGGUCCACUUCGGCCCAGUCCUGUCCGCUGCAGUUUAGCUUAGUUUAAUCCAGUCCUGUCUGGCGGAGAACUGAACAGGUGGUAUGUGACAGCAGGUAAGAGCUGACAUCAAAGGAUUCAGAGAGAGAAAGCACAAGAGAUGCUGAGAGAGAAAAGAGGGGGAAAUAUCUGAGAACAAAAUAAAGAGUUCUGGAGAGAAAGAAAGGUAGAAGUUAGAGAAGGGAAAGAACAGAAAGUUGACUUCGUAACAGUGAAAAUUUAGAGCUGGAGAAAAGGAAAUGUGAAAUUGAAGUGAAAUGGUUGUUGAGGAUUGGGGUGUUAGGGGUGUGACAGAGGGAUUGGUGGUAGUCUGGACCAACAGCUUGUGUGCUUAACUCAGGUGAAUACAAAUUCUUCUGCACUGAUAAACAUCUACUGCAAAAUCUCCCCAAACAAAAUACAUUUCCUUGUAGAGGUAGAGGUGUUUGGUCUCUUUGCUAAAGAAAUCAAGCAAAGCUAAAAAGAUGUUUGGUGGCUAGUGCUGUGGCUGGGACCCUAUAUGUACUGUUGAUGAAGUUAGGUGCUGUUCUGAGCAUUAUUUGUGGCUAUAUAGUGGCUUUUUGGUUGAACGCGUGGCUCCU